GCCGGUUUGGCUCAGUGGUUGAGCAUCAGCCUGGGGACUUGAAGGGUCCCAGGUUCAAUUCCUGGUCAGGGCA
rnacentral:tRNA from 1 species